CUUGUUCAAAGUCACACAACUGUUAGGCAGAAAUGAGGUCAUUCAAAUCCUUAAUCUUCUCCUCCAGACCACACUGCCUCCCAGGAAGAGAUGUGGGCACCUCCUGUUCUUGCCAGGCAGGAAACCGCUCCUUAUCAAUGUCUACGGGGUCUGCUCUCACACCCAGGAAGGACUGUGACAAGCAUGGACUAACCUGCGGCUCCACUCAGCCUGCUGUCAGCACCCUCCUGUUCAGCAGGAUGCAACAUCUGAUGUUCUGCCAGGAGGCUGUAGAGCUGCACAUAGAAGUAGCCAGUGUUUCUUCCCAUUCCAAAAUGGAAAUAUCACUCAGCCUUUUUUAAAAUUGACUUCCUAUGUUCAUUUUGAUUGUAGGUGAUGCAGCAAGCCUCAGGGCUGGGGAUUUUCAAAAUCUUGUUGGCUGACUAUUAUAGAUGGCCUUGGAAUUUGCUCUUGGGGGUCUGAAUAUAACGUAGGAAAAUGUCCUUUCUCAGGGAGUGGGGCUUUAAAGUUCGUUUGUUUGUCACUCCAAUUUUAGCUGUGCACUGCACCUUUCUUUGCACCCCUACUCUCUUCAUCUUGUCUCAUAGCCACAGCUAUUGAAUUUGGCCUGUGAUCAUAAGUUGGGUUUCUGAUCUGAUCUCUUGCAUUCUGGUGGGUACUGGGGGCAGAAUCAGCUUUGUUAAUGAUUUUCUGGGCAGAAGGUAAAUUCAGCUGCAUCUGAAGGGGCUUCACAGUCCAAUAGCCGUCCUUUUGUUUUACAUAACAGAGAGUGAUGGUCAAGGCCACCCACAUCUUUAGUGGUAGAGCCAGGACAAAAAGUCAGGUUUUCUGCCUCUUAAGUCUCAUGCUGCCUCACAUAGCACCUCCAGAGCUCUAGGGAAAGGAGGCUCAGAGAGAUGAAGUGACUUGUCUGAAGUCCUGUGGCUAGUGGCAGAGAAGUUGGAAUUAGACCUGCAUUGGACCUCAAUUCGCUGAGCAGUUGCAGGGAAAUCUGGAAAUCCUUUUUUUUUUUUUUUUGAGACAGAGUCUUACUCUGUCACCCAGGCUGGAGUGCAAUGGCGUGAUCUCAGCUCACUGCAACACCGCCUCCCGGGUUCAAGCGAUUCUCCUGCCUCAGCCUCCUGAGUAGCUGGGAUUACAGACGCACGCCACCAUGCCCGGCUAAUUUUUGUAUUUUUAGUAGAGACAAGGUUUCCCCAUAUUGGUCAGGCUGGUCUUGAACUCCUGACCUUGUGAUCCGCCCGCCUUGACCUCCCAAAGUGCUGGGAUGACAGGCGUGAUCCACCGUGCCCAGCCGGGAAAUCCAUUUUUUAAAAUAAAUUCAAUUAUGUCUUGAAUGUACUCAGAAAACGAGCUGUUUAAAAUGUCCCAUUGUGACUGUAAUGUGAACAAUGACCUCUAACUUGUAUUUUAUUUGGCAAGGAUGGGGGAUGUGCAUCAAAUCUUCACCUCUGGGAUUUCCUGAGGCUUGGUCUACUUGGCUCACCCUCCACCUGCAUCCCCACCCCACUCCUAGAUAUUAAUACAAAUCUAGCCUUGACACCGCCUACUGCUCCACCACCGCCUACGUUUUUGGCCAUCAGAGCCUUGGAGUUUACAGAGCAGAGGCCAUGACAUUGGGGAGCUUGUUUAAAAAUCAAUGAUCAGAACCCCACAUUUUAGUUUCCUUUUGGGGAGAAAGAGGAGGGCCGUGGAAGAAAAGGGGUGUGCAGCUGGAGCGUUAUUAUGUCUUUCUCAGCGGCAGGCAUGCCCGCCUCUCCACCUUCUCCCCGCCAGGCACAGGAGCCAGCAGCUGGAGCGUGCUCUGAGUUUCAGGGGACCCCCCACCCAGACUGACUGGGGCUUCUGGGACUUCUCAUAGGAAGAGUCAAGACCUCCUGCGCUUCUUUAAAAGGUGAUGGGCUCAGUGUUCCCAGUGGCAUCUGGAGGUGAAGCCGGUACUGUCUCAGGAGUGGAAGGCAAUGGCCCACUGGCCUUUUUCUCCCCCACGUCACAGUCCCCAUUUGCUGGAGCCCUUGAGGGGGCCACCGAAACUGUGGCUCUCAUUCAGCCUCCCAAAGUGUUGCACUACUGAAUACUCCUUUCUGUUUACACCAGCAGUGAAUAGAGUCAUGAAAAGAACAUAUUAUAUGCAAUGGCUUGAUGCUUAGUGUGGCAAUCAAAAGCUUGCCUGGGCAGAUGUAGGCAGGGGCUAGACAAUAGUCAUGGAGUUGUCACCAGGUCACUGUCUCUCUCCUUCCCCUUCCAGGUCUCUACUGUCCCCUGCAGCCACCACAAGGGCUAAGCUGUUGAAUGAGCCCCUUGGUUUUUCCUUAUAAACGCAAUGACUUACUUGUGAUUCUUGGUCUAAUCCCAGGCUAAGAAACAAAACAAAAGCUUGUGAUCUGACCCAUUCCUUUGCUGCCUUCCUUCUCUUUCAGGCACCUGGACGUAUUUAGUAUUCUGCCCUGUGCCUUGCCCAGGGGAGGGAGAAGUUUCUAGCAAAUGUGACUUUCUGUCUGCUGCCUGGUGCUUUUAUAGUACUUCAUCUGCUUUUUAUUGUUGUUGUUGUGUUUUUUAACCAAAAUGGCAUUUGUUUGGCUGUCAUUGUCGAGUAUAUAUUUAUUGUGUUUUACAAACAUGAGUAUAUAUGUAUGUAUAUGUAUAAAACCAAACUUAUAUAUAUAAGAAGUCAAGGCAUGUAUACUAGAUAUUUUAAAGAGUUAUUUAUCAAGGGAAAAAGAUGUGUGUUAUAAAGUAAACAGAGUCUAUAUUUUCUAUAUAAUGUAGAUAGUCAAACAUAGCUUAUAAAUUAUAGGAGGUUUUGGUUUUCUUUUUUAUUAUUAAAGGAAAAAAAGAAGAAAAAAAAAGACAAUGAAUGCAACUGUUCUUAGUGUUUUUAAGGCCAAACUACUGUGGAAGCUGGGAGGCGGCCCUCCCUGCGGGCCUCCAGCAGCCCUGUGCCUGCCGCUAGGAGCUCCAGAGCUGAUGCCCGUUGUGAUCUCUGCGAUGCUCGAUGCUCGGAGCCAGCGGUCAGCAUCACUCAGCCAGCUGGCCUGUGCCGCUCUGACGUGGCUUCCAGCUGUUCUCCGCAAUUUGCAUUGGUGGGAUAAAGGAAUGAAAAGGAUAAAUAAAGAUUUAAAAGAAAA
rnacentral:lncRNA from 10 species